UAAAGAGGCUGGGGAUGUGGCUCAGUGGUUGAGUCCCCUGUGUUUCUCCUUUGCUGCAAAGCAAUAAGCCUUCUUUUUUCCUUUUUCUCAAAACUGUGUCCUUGUUAUUUGAUUGGAAUGGGGAAUAAGGACCAAGAUUUUGGCAACAGUAGGAUGGAGCCCUUAACCUCUGGGAUCUAAUGUGAAUAGGUUUAGAAUUGGUUUGAAUUAUGGAACAUCCAUCUGGUGUCCACUGCCAAAUUGCUUGGUGUGGAGAAAACCGCCACAAAAUUGGUCAGAGAACUCUUCUGUAUUGGGUAUGUGAAUAGGAUAAAAAGUUUUUUCCUCUUAUAGCAUCUUAUUCCCUAACAAAUCUCUGCCAAAUCAACCCUGCGAUGUAGGAUAGGGCUAAAGAUAGUGAUGGAACUGACAAGCGGAGAGCCUGAGGAAGUCUGAUGAAGUUCCCCUGCUCUGUUCAGUUUGCUAGGGUGUUAGAUUUAAAACCCGAGGAAGGACUGUGCACCUGGAAAUGAAGCUUUGUGGUGAGAACAGUUCUCCAUUUCUUUAUAUGUUCCCCAUUCUAUAGACUUAUGUCCCUAUAUUCUCUCCAACACCUUAUAUUAGUUUUAGUUUCUUCCCCUUAUCCUCUUCCUCUUUUUUUUUUUUUUUGACUGGAGAUUGGACCCCGGGGCACUUUACUCUGAGCCACAUUCCCAGCCCUUAAUUUUAUUUUUUAUUUUCAGACAGGGUUCUUGCUAAAUUGCUUAGGGCUUAGCUAAAUCACUGAGGCAGACCUUGAAUUUGCUAUCCUCUUACCUCAGCCUUCAGAAUCACUGGAAUUUACAGGCGUGUGCCUCUUCCCUGGUUUAUUAUUCAGCUUUCUAAACUUUGCUUGUCUAAUGGGUGUGAAGUGAUUGCUCAUUGUUUUAAUUUUCAUUUCCCUGACAAUGAGUUUGCACACCUUUUCAACAGUUGGUAGCUGGUUGAAUUUCCUUAUUUGCAAGUUGUUCAUUUAUAUACUUUGCCCAUUUCUUUUUUUCCUAUUGAUAGUCUUCCUUUUUGUUACUAUUGACUUACAAAGGUACGUAAUAUA
rnacentral:lncRNA from 1 species